rnacentral:tRNA from 1 species
GGGGAUUUGGCUCAGUGGUAGAGCACUUGCCUAGCAAGCACAAGGCCCUGGGUUCGGUUCCCAGCUCCG